rfam:Parcubacteria bacterium GW2011_GWF2_46_8 TX66_C0028, whole genome shotgun sequence.
CGGGCCGUAGUAUAACGGUAGUACGCAAGGCUGGGGGUCUUGCGGACGGGGUUCAACUCCCCGCGGCCCGA